rnacentral:rRNA from 1 species
GGCCUAUCGAUCCUUUAGCUAGUCGGAAAUUGACGCUAGAGGUGUCAGAAAAGCU